UUACACAAGCAAAAACCAUAACUGUCACCCUGCAGACUCUGACUUCUCAUAGCUGUCUCUGCCCCUGUAAAACUGGGGUUAAGGGAGAGGGAUGAGCUACUAGAGCCCAGUGAGUAGGAACGAUAAAAACAUUCAUUUAAAACAUAUGCUAUCAUGGAAUGCAUCACAUCACAACUAAUCACAUAUUAAGGAUGGAAUUGUCACCAC
rnacentral:lncRNA from 1 species